rnacentral:misc_RNA from 1 species
GAUGAAGAACGCAGCGAAAUGCGAUAAGUAAUGUGAAUUGCAGAAUUCAGUGAAUCAUCGAAUCUUUGAACGCACAUUGCGCCCGCCAGCAUUCUGGCGGGCAUGCCUGUUCGAGCGUCAUUUCAACCAUCAAGCCCCAGGCUUGUGUUGGGGACCUGCGGCUGCCGCAGGCCCUGAAAACCAGUGGCGGGCUCGCUGUCACACCGGGCGUAGUAGAUUUUAUCUCGCUCUGGGCGUGCUGCGGGUUCCGGCCGUUAAAAAACCCUUUUAACCCAAGGUUGACCUCGGAUCAGGUAGGAAUACCCGCUGAACUUAAGCAUAUCAAUAAGCGGAGGA